AUGAAAACAACAAACUUUUUAGACAUGUUUAAAGUUGCAGUGGACGAGGUUCUUCGGGAUACCUCCCUCCCUGAAAUGACUUUUUGCAGGUUGGGAUGUCUGUUAAAGCACUGCAUAUUAGAGCAUAUUGGCUGUAUGCCGAGGGAUCCCCAAAUUUCAGAGUGUCAUCCAGAGGGCGAGGACUCUGGCUGUGCGUCUCUGCGGCUCUCCUCCCAUCAUGCCCUGCUGCGGUGUGCAGAAGUUGAAGGUGCAGCAGUCUCCGGCUGAACCCAUGACCUCUGCAGACUGUGGAGAGGAGCAAUUUCCAGGGCAAUAAAAACCACCAUGGCAACAGAGAUGCUGUCUGUGACUCAUGGCCUUUGGGCCGCUUGAUAUCCAUAGAGAGGCUUUUUUGUGACCGAAUGCACAUACGCGAGCUUGAUUUUAUCGGAAAGGCCUGUAGAUAUCACAGCGAAUAUGCACUGUGCGAAACGAAAUGUCACGAAAACAAUUCACGACAUCUAGACAACUGAAGCCUCUUGUAUUUUUUUCUUUUCCAGCAGUCGGUUAAAUAAUGAAGCCCAUUUUCUACCUUAUAAAAUCAAGCUGAAUCACCCCCAUUCACAUGGACCGCGCGUCUGGUUUGAGAAUUUUUUUCUUCGUUUAAAUGCACCGUGACGAAAAGUAUAAAUCAGACGUUUAAGUUGGCCUGCUACAUGGCAAAACAAUGCCUCGUGGAGAGGAGAUGAAGAGGGUAACGCUAUAAUGUAAAAUAGUUAAAAGCUUAUUAGAGCCAUUGAAAGGCAGCGUGAUUUCCACUUUGUUUCGGAACACCCUGAGCUCUGCCUUUCAAGUGAUUGUGAAGGGGGCAAUUCAAAUCUCUUUGGGUCCAUAUGAAUGAAGGCCUCUUAAAGCUCUUUUAUAAGCCAGCAAAUUCCCCACAGGCUAUGCCCUUUAGCUCUAUUACUGAUUUACCAAAAGCAUUCAUCUCCAGCCUUCUGCUUCUCUUCUCCCAUUGUUCUCUCCGGUCGCCCCAGCACCUGACAACUCUAGCACCAGGCUUUCUUAGCUGCUGAAAACGUGCAGGCCACAACCACUGCGAAUAUUGCUAUAUAUCUUUGGACGCCUUUGCACCGCUGCACAUUUUACAACAGUUAAAAAGCAAC
rnacentral:lncRNA from 1 species